CAUCACAACAUUCUUCUCUUCUCAUUCCCAUUGAUACGUUCUUCCUUUUUCAUCUUCCACACCGUCUCCCUACGUAGUCUCUCUCUCGCAAACCCUCGUUUAUAUGAGUUCUUUAGCACUCCAGUAUGAUUCGGAUGACGAUUCUUUUAAAGCUAACCUCCUUCAUAUGACUCCGGACCUAUUGGACCCAAACUAUGAACCUGUACAUGAAAGCGAAAGAGAGGAGAAUGAUCAGCUUUCUAGCGAUGAUUCUGACCUCCUUGACAUGGAUUCGGAACUGUUGGACACAUAAAAGGAAAGCGAGGGUUUUGAUGCACCUUUAUUGUAUGAGGUGGACUUGAUUGGGCACAUUGUUCAUAUGUUUCCUUACAAUACACCUGAGGUUCAAGGAUUAGCAGAAAAAGCUAUUGAACAUUAUAACAAUCAACAUGCUAAUCAUCAAGCUGCAUGUGGUAUCUUGUAUUACAUAACCUUUGAUGUUAAAGAAGCUGGAGCAGCUCCUGAGUUACCAAUGACUACCUUCCAAGCUCGAGUUUUGUAUGGCAUUCGUGUUAUAGAGGUUGAACUCUGUCGUCCAGAACCCCCUCCCAAGAAUUAAAUCGAACUAUGCUUCCCGUUUCUUCUAUAUGAUCAUUUAAAGAAUGAAAUGACGGACACGCAAAGAGGGUAAAUGUGAAAGAUAUAUUUAUUAGUGUAGAAUAAGUGCAGGUAGGGACAAAUUGAAAACCUAAACAAGAAAUAGAAAAUUUGAAGGUAAAUACAUUAUUAUAUCAUUGUGUACUAAACAUGUAGGUUUCCUCCAACAACACAAUGAUAAAGCAAUAUAAUAGUCUUUGUCAUUCGGUGCUUUUUAGGAUUUUCUCUAACUUUUAUAGAAUUGUUCUAUUGUAUUCCAUUGGUUUGGUUUACACA